UACGGAGGGUGCGAGCGUUGUCCGGAAUCAUUGGGCGUAAAGGGCGCGUAGGUGGCGGGACAAGCGUGCGGUGAAAGCUCGGGGCUCAACCCCGCGUCGGCCGUGCGAACUGUUUUUGCUUGAGCACUGUAGAGGCAGGCGGAAUUCCGGGUGUAGCGGUGGAAUGCGUAGAGAUCCGGAAGAACACCGGUGGCGAAGGCGGCCUGCUGGGCAGUAGCUGACACUGAGGCGCGACAGCGUGGGGGAGCAAACAGG
rnacentral:rRNA from 1 species